GUGCUCACUUUAGCGGCACAAAUACUAAAACUGGAACGGUACAGAGAAGAUUGGCAUGGCCCCUGUGCAAGGAUGACACGCAAAUUCGUGAAGCAGUCCCUAUUUUU